GACGAACGCUGGCGGCGUGCUUAACACAUGCAAGUCGAACGGAAAGGCCCUGCUUUUGUGGGGUGCUCGAGUGGCGAACGGGUGAGUAACACGUGAGUAACCUGCCCUUGACUUUGGGAUAACUUCAGGAAACUGGGGCUAAUACCGGAUAGGAGCUCCUGCUGCAUGGUGGGGGUUGGAAAGUUUCGGCGGUUGGGGAUGGACUCGCGGCUUAUCAGCUUGUUGGUGGGGUAGAGGCUUACCAAGGCUUUGACGGGUAGCCGGCCUGGGAGGGUGACCGGCCACAUUGGGACUGAGAUACGGCCCAGACUCCUACGGGAGGCAGCAGUGGGGAAUAUUGCACAAUGGGCGGAAGCCUGAUGCAGCAACGCCGCGUGUGGGAUGACGGCCUUCGGGUUGUAAACCGCUUUCGCCUGUGACGAAGCGUGAGUGACGGUAAUGGGUAAAGAAGCACCGGCUAACUACGUG
rnacentral:rRNA from 1 species